GAUGAACGCUAGCGACAGGCCUAACACAUGCAAGUCGAGGGGCAGCGCGGGAGAAGCUUGCUUUUCCUGGCGGCGACCGGCGCACGGGUGCGUAACAGGUGUGCAAUCUGUCCUAUACCGGGGCAUAGCCCAGCGAAAGUUGGAUUAAUUCUCCAUGUGAGACGAAGGGGCAUCCCUUUGUUUUGAAACGUAAGGGUAUAGGGUGAGCACGCUUCUGAUUAGAUAGUUGGUGGGGUAACGGCUCACCAAGUCGACGAUCAGUAGGGGUUCUGAGAGGAAGGUCCCCCACAUUGGAACUGAGACACGGUCCAAACUCCUACGGGAGGCAGCAGUGAGGAAUAUUGGUCAAUGGGCGAGAGCCUGAACCAGCCAAGUCGCGUGAAGGAUGAAGGUUCUAUGGAUUGUAAACUUCUUUUGUCCGAGGGUAAAAAAGGUCACGUGUGACUUCUUGCAAGUAUCGGACGAAUAAGCAUCGGCUAACUCCGUGCCAGCAGCCGCGGUAAUACGGAGGAUGCGAGCGUUAUCCGGAUUUAUUGGGUUUAAAGGGUGCGUAGGUGGUUUGUUAAGUUUGUGGUGAAAGCGUGCGGCUCAACCGUACCAAGCCAUGAAAACUGGCGAACUUGAGUGCAAACGAGGUAGGCGGAAUGUGAUGUGUAGCGGUGAAAUGCUUAGAUAUGUCACAGAACCCCGAUUGCGAAGGCAGCUUACCAGCAUGCAACUGACACUGAGGCACGAAAGCGUGGGUAUCAAACA
rnacentral:rRNA from 1 species